UACGUAGGGGGCUAGCGUUGUCCGGAUUUAUUGGGUUUAAAGGGUGCGUAGGCGGCCCUGUAAGUCAGUGGUGAAAUACUGCAGCUUAACUGUAGCAUUGCCAUUGAUACUGUAGGGCUUGAGUACAGAUGAGGUAGGCGGAAUUGAUGGUGUAGCGGUGAAAUGCAUAGAUACCAUCAAGAACACCGAUUGCGAAGGCAGCUUACUAAGCUGUAACUGACGCUGAGGCACGAAAGCGUGGGGAUCGAACAGG
rnacentral:rRNA from 1 species